rnacentral:misc_RNA from 1 species
GAAAUCAGAAAAUUAGUAAGUUUAUACUUUGAUUCAUGAAUCAUGCAUAAGUCCAAACAGUGUAAUGUGUAAUUUUAAAAAAUGUUUUAUAAUCAAUUUUUGAUGUGUUACAAGUCCAUGAAGAAGAAGAAGAAGGUGGAAAGAUUCACAUUCACAAGGGAAUGAAGAUCUCCGUAGAACAUAGCCGUUCACCUCCUGCAAAAGGCUUUUAUUCGCAUGCAUACGGUUCGUUAUUCGAUAGAUGUAAUAAUGUACUUAGAAGAUUCAAUUGUGAGUG